rnacentral:lncRNA from 1 species
CUUCGGUGGGAGUGGGGACUUACUCAACCUUGCUUUUAGAUUGCUGGCCUCCAGCCUGGAAGAGGAUACAUUUCUGUGGUUCUAAGCUGCCGUAUUGCCAGUAAUUACUCAUGGAAACCAGUGUACCCCUCAACCGCCCACCACCCUCUGAGACAUCAUUUCCGUCUCCUGCAAACCUGCCAGCUGCCCCAUCAUCCUGGGCCCAUCUAUGAAAGCCUCGUUUUAGUGAUCCGUGACUAUAAAGAGAAACAUAAAGGUCACCAGUACAGAAGAAUCGAGGGAACUGUGUGUGACGAUCGGGUCAAUAAAGUCAAGUGUGGUGCGUCUGCAGAGACAAAUGAACUACUAACAAAGAAGCAAACAAAAACAAUGCCCCACUUGGUUAUUCAUCAUUGGAUU